rnacentral:rRNA from 1 species
UACGUAGGGGGCUAGCGUUAUCCGGAAUUACUGGGCGUAAAGGGUGCGUAGGUGGUUUCUUAAGUCAGAGGUGAAAGGCUACGGCUCAACCGUAGUAAGCCUUUGAAACUGAGAAACUUGAGUGCAGGAGAGGAGAGUAGAAUUCCUAGUGUAGCGGUGAAAUGCGUAGAGAUAUGGAGGAACACCAGUGGCGAAGGCGGCUUCCUGGUCUGUAACUGACACUGAGGCGCGAAAGCGUGGGGAGCAAACAGGAUUAGAUACCCCUGUAGUCCCUGA